rnacentral:rRNA from 1 species
CAGCAGCCGCGGUAAUACGGAGGGUGCAAGCGUUAAUCGGAAUUACUGGGCGUAAAGCGCACGCAGGCGGUCUGUCAAGUCAGAUGUGAAAUCCCCGAGCUUAACUUGGGAACUGCAUUUGAAACUGGCAAGCUAGAGUCUUGUAGAGGGGGGUAGAAUUCCAGGUGUAGCGGUGAAAUGCGUAGAGAUCUGGAGGAAUACCGGUGGCGAAGGCGGCCCCCUGGACAAAGACUGACGCUCAGGUGCGAAAGCGUGGGGAGCAAACAGGAUUAGAUACCCGCGUAGUCCCUGUCUCUUAUAC